rnacentral:rRNA from 1 species
GAUGAACGCUGGCGGCGUGCCUAAUACAUGCAAGUCGAGCGAAUGGAUUAAGGGCUUGCUCUUAUGAAGUUAGCGGCGGACGGGUGAGUAACACGUGGGUAACCUGCCCAUAAGACUAGGAUAACUCCGGGAAACCGGGGCUAAUACCGGAUAACAUUUUGAACCGCAUGGUUCGAAAUUGAAAGGCCGCUUCGUCUGUCACUUAUGGAUGGACCCGCGUCGCAUUAGCUAGUUGGUGAGGUAACGGCCCACCAAGGCAACGAUGCGUAGCCGACCUGAGAGGGUGAUCGGCCACACUGGGACUGAGACACGGCCCAGACUCCUACGGGAGGCAGCAGUAGGGAAUCUUCCGCAAUGGACGAAAGUCUGACGGAGCAACGCCGCGUGAGUGAUGAAGGCUUUCGGGUCGUAAAACUCUGUUGUUAGGGAAGAACAAGUGCUAGUUGAAUAAGCUGGCACCUUGACGGUACCUAACCAGAAAGCCACGGCUAACUACGUGCCAGCAGCCGCCGCCG